rnacentral:lncRNA from 1 species
AUGCAGGAAUUGAUCCCAAUAGCUAUUUGCCGUGUGUUGCCAAAAAAUAUGAGAAUAGCUGUUAUUCAUCUUUACAACUUCUACAAAGAUAUUUGUACAAAAAGAUUACUUAAGAAAGACGUGAAGAAAAUGAAGGUAAGGGCGGUGACUAUAUUAUGUGAUCUGAAGAAAAUACUUCUACCAUCAUUUUUUACAGUUAUG